rnacentral:lncRNA from 1 species
CCAUCUCCAAAAAAGCCCAACUCCAAGUUACAUUUUUUAUUUUUUUUUUAUAAGCAACUCAAACUCCAAGUUAAACCAUUUUCAUCAUCAUCAACAUUAUAACUCUCUUCACCGUCGCCAUCAUCAUCAACCUCGCCAUUAACGCCGUCAUCACCCAACAUCACUUCAUCCGUCGCCGUCGCCAUUAACGUCGUUCAUCAUCAACAUCAUUUCAUCAUCUUCACCGUCGCCAACAUUUGAACGAACCAAACACAAAAUGGUGAAAAGAAAACAGGUUAGAGCUAUAUUUUUACUUUGAUUUUGGGAAUUAGGUUUUAUUUUGGUUUGAUCAUUUUCUAAUUUCACAAGAUUAAAAUCAUUGGAUGUACUAAAUGGUUUCCUAAUUAUAUUUUGGGAAUUAAGUUUGAUUAUUUUGGAAUUGUGGAUUAUUACUCAUAUGUACCAUUGGAUGUACUAAAUGGUUUCCUAAUUUAUGUAUUACUGUUUAAUUUGUUUCGAUUGCGAUUGUUUUGGUGGGUUGCUUUAGAUAUUAAAAAAUGUUGUUGAUUUAGCUGAUUAGUUUGUGUAAUCAUGUCUGUUUUGUUGGAAAUGUAUUUCCAUUAGAAACAUUGUGAUUGGAUAGAAAUUUUUAGCAGAUUGGAUAGAAACAUUGUAACUGAAAUCUCCUAUUGGUACAGGAUAUCAGAAUCAUGUUGUUGUUAGUUAUUAAGUUUAUUUGAGCACAAAAUGUGACAAUUGAGUUCAAUGAGAACAAGAGAAAGCUUUGAAGUGCUUCU